rnacentral:tRNA from 1 species
AGAAAGUGACAGAGUGGUUAUGUACCUGGCUUGAAACCAGAGGAUGGGGGUUCAAUUCCCUCCUUUCU